UCUGACGUGGAUCAGGGCUAUGGGUGCUGU
rnacentral:piRNA from 1 species